rnacentral:lncRNA from 1 species
AGGGGUAUUCUUAGCAAAGCUACUCUAAUGUGUGUAAUGACAUGAAGUCAUGUGACAACUACAUCUAGCUGAUUACACACUUUUACUUAAGUACGUUUGUUUGACUUUAUUUUCACAUUGUGGUACAAGUACUUUCACUGAAGUAAACGCUUCUUCCACCACUGUUCACUUUACUGUGGAGUAGUUCCUAAAGCCAUAUCAAAUCAAAUCAAAUUUAUUUGUAUAGCCCAAUAUCACAAAUUAUACAUUUGUCUCAGUGUUUACAGACUGUACAGGAUACGACACCCUCUGUCCUUACACCCUCUGUCCUUAGACCCUCUGUCCUUACACCCUCUGUCCUUAGACCCUCUGUCCUUACACCCUCUCUCCUUAGACCCUCUGUCCUUAGACCCUCUGUCCUUAGACCCUCUGUCCUUAUACCCUCUCUCCUUAGACCCUCUGUCCUUAGACCCUCUGUCCUUAGACCCUCUGUCCUUACAUCCUCUGUCCUUAGACCCUCUGUCCUUACACCCUCUCUCCUUAGACCCUCUGUCCUUAGACCCUCUGUCCUUACACCCUCUGUCCUUAGACCCUCUGUCCUUAGACCCUCUGUCCUUACACCCUCUGUCCUUAGACCCUCUGUCCUUACACCCUCUCUCCUUAGACCCUCUGUCCUUAGACCCUCUGUCCUUAGACCCUCUGUCCUUACACCCUCUGUCCUUAGACCCUCUGUCCUUAGACUCUCUGUCCUUAGACCCUCUGUCCUUAGACCCUCUGUCCUUACACCCUCUCUCCUUAGACCCUCUGUCCUUAGACCCUCUGUCCUUACACCCUCUCUCCUUAGACCCUCUGUCCUUAGACCCUCUGUCCUUACACCCUCUGUCCUUAGACCCUCUGUCCUUAGACCCUCUGUCCUUAGACCCUCUGUCCUUACACCCUCUGUCCUUAGACCCUCUCUCCUUAGACCCUCUGUCCUUAGACCCUCUGUCCUUACACCCUCUGUCCUUAGACCCUCUGUCCUUACACCCUCUCUCCUUAGACCCUCUGUCCUUAGACCCUCUGUCCUUAGACCCUCUGUCCUUACACCCUCUGUCCUUAGACCCUCUGUCCUUAGACUCUCUGUCCUUAGACCCUCUGUCCUUAGACCCUCUGUCCUUACACCCUCUGUCCUUAGACCCUCUCUCCUUAGACCCUCUGUCCUUAGACCCUCU